UACAGAGGUCCCAAGCGUUGUUCGGAUUCAUUGGGCGUAAAGGGUGCGUAGGCGGCGCGGUAAGUCGGGUGUGAAAUCUCGGAGCUUAACUCCGAAACUGCAUUCGAUACUGCCGUGCUUGAGGACUGGAGAGGAGACUGGAAUUUACGGUGUAGCGGUGAAAUGCGUAGAUAUCGUAAGGAAGACCAGUGGCGAAGGCGGGUCUCUGGACAGUUCCUGACGCUGAGGCACGAAGGUCAGGGGAGCAAACAGG
rnacentral:rRNA from 1 species